UAGAGGAUUCUAUGGCAGGACCAGAAC
rnacentral:piRNA from 2 species